UGGCUUGUCUGUGAUAUGAUGCAUUCCAUAAGAUCAUGUGUUAAUGACUUGUUUUACUGUUCUACUCACUGGGCUAUAGAGCUCAUCCCACUCCCUUAACCCCAGUCUUGCAGGUUCAGUGUACAGUGUACAGGGGAAGUCCAGCAGAGUACAGGAAGAGAGAAGAGUGUUGUAAUAGACUAUUGUGGACAUGUAAUAUUAAAGAGAUGUAACAGUUGUGUAUAAAGUUAGAAUUGUGCUUGACUUAGUUAUGUUUGUGUUGUCAAUCUUUUGUAUACAUGGUCUGUUUAUAUAAUUGUUUUACAGAGUAUGUGAAAACAACCAGGCUUAACAGGUAUGAAUUAACCCAUCUAGAGCAAGCUCUAGUCAGGGGUACAGAGUACAGAGAUAGUGCAUACACAGGUUAAGUCUUGGUCCAGAGAAAAGUUUUAUUUUCACAGAAAAUGUAUGACCAUGUAUGAGAUUUUACAGGUACUCAGAGAAUAUAGCAGGCUUGCUACGGGUUCUGGCGGCCUUAAGCCGAUCUGACUCCUAGCGCCGGUGACGAUCCAUUUUGGGGUCGUUACAAUGACUUGAUUUAGCAAUAGGUGUUGAUUUGCCCAAAUCAUUGAGAGAAAGAAAUUCACAAAGGCUUAGACUUCAAAGGCACAAAUUGAAAACUGUUCCAAUGGUCAAAAGACUAUGAACAGAGCUAGUAGCCACUUGGACAGGUGACCAACUGAGUAAAUGGGGGUGGGUAUCACAAAUAUGUACCUUCACGUCAAAAGGUUGGUGACUUGUUCAAGCAAAAUUAAAAGUGCAAAAAGCUGAAUAAAGUACUUCAAGGUAAGGGCAAGUCACUCUGAAAGCUAGAAAAAGUCUUAACAAAAAUGUGCAUGUAUGGUCUCUCUUGAGGAAAAUAAAUCCUAGCCAUGGUAAGCAAAGGGAAACAAUGAAAGAAUGUAAGUAAUCUUCAUGCAUAUAUUCUUCACUGCAAUGAUUCAAAAUAGGUUUCUUGAGUAAGAGCUUAAGUGGAAAUAAUGAUCUAGAGCAAAGAAAGCUUGUUUACCUAUGUUUAUUUGCUUGAGGACAAGCAAAAGAUUAAGUGUGGGGGUAUUUAAUAGAGCAUAUUUUAGUCCUUUUUAUCUUGAUAUUAUUGAUGAUUAUUUACAUGAUUUCUGAUUAAUUUAGUGCUCUUGGCAUUGUUUUGCAGAAAAUGGUGUAAAAGGACAUUAUGGAGAAAAUCCCCCUAAAAACUGCCUUAUUUGGAGCAAAAGGGAGCAAGCUUGCCAAGUUGAAAUCAAGUCAAGCUAAAUAUGGAAAGUUGUAUAUAAGGAAAGUGGUAAAUAUGGAAAGAACAUUCAGCCAAGGCAAUUUGAAAUUCAAAUUUCAAAUCUCCAAUUAGCCUUUCCCUUAUUGAAGAAGCCAUAUCUCAAGCUACCAUAUAUGAAGAGCCAAAUGAGGAAAGUAUUUUGAAAUUCAAAUCUCCAAGAUUCAUAUUCAGAUUUUGGAUUUCAAGAUCCAGCUUAUUGAGGAAGCCAAAUCCAAAGAUCACAUGUUUCCCACUUCAUGCCUUGCACAUUCAAAAUUCAAAUGGCAAAAGGAGUGACUCGCGGUUGUCGAAGCCGGUCAAAAAUAACCUUUCUGGUUAUCAACAAUUUACAACUGCAGAUAGUGGUGAAAGGAUCGAAUCCACAGGGAAUUGAGAACUCACCUAUUUCUCUUUUUAUGACCAAGAAAAUAAACUGGAACAAUAAUAAACUAAAAAUGAGAUAAAAACUGAAAGUGGGAUUAAAUGAGAUAAAUUGAAAAUUGGGAUAAAAAACUGUCAACAAAAUAACAGGGGGGUUUGAAAUUGAUUGUAGUAACUAAUAAUGAGAAUAAUAAUAGAAAGCAAAUAAUAAAAUAAAGAGUAAUCAAUAAUGAGAAAGUUCUAGUUGAAGUAUUGGAUCCACUUUAGUUGUUGGGAUUGAUCACAGACACUUUGUUCUUUUGGGUUGAUUCAAUAGAUUAGUUAUUGAGAUGGUAGACGCUUCUCACCACCAUUAUCUCUCCUUAUGAUUAAACCAAUUAGGGAACGUCCUCUAAUUAAUUACUAAUUAACAAAUUGCCAAGGAACGUCCUUGGACCUCAGGCAUCAAAACAAUUGUCAAUUGCAUUAAGAAAUAGAGAGAUCCAAUCCUAGCUACCCAAACGUAUGGAGAUAACGCUAGAUCAUACAAUUUUCUUGGGUUUUAUCCCAAGUAUUCUCAUGUAAAAAUAAUCUAAGCAAGGAUUUAAAUUAUUCAAACUAACAAAUAAUUAUUUUGCAAUUAAAAAUCAACGUAGAUCUCAAUAACAAAAUAAUAUAAAAAUUAAGUAUGAAAUUGCAUGAAUAUUAAACUCCCAAAAAUUAAAUAAUAUUUGAUCAAGUCUCACAACCUAUUAAACAACCAAAACUUCAACCAAUAUUCAACUAGAUGAAAGAAAUUCAGCCACUCGUUGGCUGAAUUAAAAACAGAAAAAAAUAAAAAUAAAAAGGGAAAGGAAGGAAAGAACCGAAGAACUUCUGCCUUGUGCCGGACUGCGGAAUUGCUGAAUUAGAAUUGGAAUUGUCUGUCCACUGAAGAGCUCUUUUUAUAAGUGCAGAGGUGCGUCCUAUUUUGGAAUUUCUGGCCACGUGCAGUGAGUCUGCGCGAGAGUGGGCUGCGUCCGUGAGUUUGGAGUGCUGGCCACAUGUGAGGUGCUUGGUCAUGGGCUGUCCAUGUGUGUGGCGGAAUGGAAACGCCUUGGUGGGCCAUGUGCAAGUGAAGGUGCAGGUGUGGGCUGUGGUGUGCGUGAGUGGUGUGGGCCAUGUUGCAAGUGGUUGGUGCAGCCUUGAUCCGCGUGAAGGGAGUGGUGAAGCGCGGGCCAUGGUGGAAGAAUGUUGAAGCGGGCCCAUGGUCCAUGUGAAGUGAAUGGUGAAGGCCAUGAGUGCAAGGUGGAGGCGGGCCAUGUGCGUGAAUAUGAUGAUGCGCUUGGCGGGGCUUGGUCCACUUGGUCCACUGGAGGGAAUGGCGUUGAAGCAGGAGCGUGAGUGGCGGGCGUGAGUGUACUUGGCCCAUUUGAAGUGGGCUGUCCAAGUGCUUGAAUGGCUUUGGCCCAAGCGUGUUGGCGGAAUGGGCUGUCCGUGGCCUUUUUUGCGUGAGUUUGGACUGUCCAAGUGCGUGAAUAUUUAAGCUUCAAAAUAUUUUCCUCUCAUUUAGCUUGACUUGAAUCCAACUUGGCAGGCUUACUCUCUUUUGCUCCAAAUAAGGCAGUUUUAGGGGGGAUUUUCUCCAAAUUGUCCUUUUAUACCAUUUUCUGCAAAAUAAUAUUAAAAGCAAUAAAUUAAGCAGAAAUCGUGUAAAUAUUCAUCAAUAAUAUUAAUAUAAAAUGGACUAAAUUAUGCUCUAUCAAAUACCCCCACACCUUGCCUUUUGCUUGUCCUCAAGCAAAUAAACAUAGUUAAACAAGCUUUCUUACUCUAGAUCCUUAUUUCCACUUAAACUCUUACUCUAGACUCCUAUUUUGAAUCAUUGCAGUGAAGAAUAUAUGCAUGAAGAUUACUCACCUUCUUUCCUUAUUUCCCUUUGCUUACCAUGGCUAGGAUUUCUUUUACUCAAGAGAGAUCAUACAUGCACAUAUUAUUUGUUCAGAUAAGACUUUUUCUAGCUUUCAGAGUGACUUGCCCUUACCUUGAAGUACUUUAUUCAGCUUUUUGCACUUUUAAUUUUGCUUGAACAAGUCACCAACCUUUUGACGUGAAGGUACAUAUUUGUGAUACCCACCCCCAGUUACUCAGUUGGUCACCUGUCCAAGUGGCUACUAGCUCUGUUCAUAGUCUUUUGACCAUUGGAACAGUUUUCAAUUUGUGCUUUUGAAGUCUAAGCCUUUGUGAAUUUCUUUCUCUCAAUGAUUUGGGCAAAUCAACACCAAUUGCUAAAUCAAGUCAUGUUAAGUUCAUUCACAUAAUUUUCAAUUUAUUCUCUCUAAUGAGUGUCAUCAAUAUAUUUUUUACCAUGGCAAACUCAAAGAUUCAAUUCAAAAGGCAAUUUCCAAAUAUGAAUAUAACUCACUACAAUUGAUUCAACAUAAGUUUAAAGAGUCAUCACAUCAAUGGGGUCAUGGAAAGAAAAACUCAUCAACAUAGUUUAUCAGUUUGAGUAGAGCAAAUCAAAAAGAAGAAGAAGGUUGUGGUUGUGUGUGUUUUAUUGAAAGCAUAAACUAAAAAUUGAAAAAAAUCACACUGAAAAUGAAAAUAAAAAUUCAAACUGAAAAUUAAAGCAAAAAUUAAAAAUCCAGAAUUAUGCACCCCCACACCUAAAUCAUGCAUUGUCCUCAAUGUAUGGAAAAUAUUAAAAUGCAAAAGAAACUGAGUACUCCCCUGGGUGUGGUGUGCAUGGUGCGAUCCACUUGAUCAAGGCUCAAGUAAUUGGGGAAGGAAAAAGAGUCCCAACUGCAUUGAGCAAAAAGUGUAGCACUCCUUUUGAUUUGGUCAUAACCCAUCCUAUUUUUUCCAUGUACUCAUGAAGUAACAUAAUUAGCCCUUCCUCUUUCAGAUGAGGUGUGUCUCUAGUCCUUAUGUUUGCAUUUUUGAGCACUUCCAACUUUAAUUCAUAUUUCUCCAUGGCUAGCUGCAAUUUAGUACUAAAAUCUAGCAAAACAAACUCUACCUUAUCCGGAGGUUUGGGAAGGCAUUGGUCUGCAUGAUCCUUUGGUUUAGGUGCUUGGACUUCCACUUAUUCCUUGUGAGCAAGGGUUGUUUGCGUUGGAAGGCUGAAAGGAGUUUCAGAUUGCUACUUCUGCGCAAGAUUUACCUAAAAGGGAUGACUGGAAGGGGUUUUAUGCGAUGGAAGCUGUGGUGAGAGGUUCGGCGGCCAAAAGGUGGUGGAGUUCGGCGGCCGAAAGGUGGUGGUUUCAGUCUGCGCAAGGCUGAUCUGAAGAGGUGCGAUUGGCUCUCCUUUGUUCUGCGCAUGUUUGCAGUCCACCUGUUGGAUGCAACAAUCAGUUUCUUUCAGUUCUGGCUCUUUCUGGCUCUCUUCCCUGCAAAGAUUAUUGUUCAGAAUAUCAUCUUGAUUCAUAUAAAAAACAUCUUUGCUCAAAUAAUCAAUGACAUCUAAAUCAACAACAGGUUCUGUUUGACCAGUUUGUUUGGACAAACAGUUUUCUGGUUGUUUCUCUUCAGCAGCUUGUUUUUGAACUUGCGAACUUUCAUCAUCUUCCUCAUCAUCUUGAAACUCUUCCUCCCUUCUCAACAUGUUUGCAUUUUCUGCGGUGGCAAUCCGCUGUUCGAGGUUUUGUAAAGCACUUACCAUGGACUCCAUCAUCUUUUCAAGGUGCUGGGUGGAAUUUGGAGGUGCUAGUUGGACUUGAUAUCCUUGAUAAUUCUGGUAGUUGUUAGCCUCUGCAUAACUGAAGUUUGGAUAGUCUCCCCAACUUGGAUUGUAUGUGUUAUAGUAUUGAUCAUGUCUUGGCUGUUCAUAGAAUCCUCCAUAUGCAUGUCUAGCCUGACUAUUGAAUAUUUCAAACGCAUGCACUGGUUGGUCAUACUGAUAAAGUGUAGAACAUUGAUCAGUUGGUGUCCCACAUAUCCACAGAUCCUACAUGGCCUUGGUGGCUGGGAUGCUUGAACCUGUUGAACUAGUCUUAUGGCAAAUUCUUUCAUAAAAGAUGUCAGUAAACAAAAAUCAUAUCUAUUUACCUCAUCCAUGAUUCAGAUAUGCGAUGGUGACUGUGCCUUGGUGAGAUGUUCGGCGGCCGAAUGAGGAUGAUGUUCGGCGGCCGAAUGUGUUGCAGAAGGUGCUCCUGUGCAAAAGUGAUCUUCACUCUUUUUUUUUUUUUCAGAUCUGCGAUGAGGUGUUCUUUGGGUUACAAAUCAGGUCCUGAAAGAAAAACAAAUAAGUUAAAUCAAUUCCCCGGCAACGGUGCCAAUGUUUGACUCGCGGUUGUCGAAGCCGGUCAAAAAUAACCUUUCUGGUUAUCAACAAUUUACAACUGCAGAUAGUGGUGAAAGGAUCGAAUCCACAGGAAAUUGAGAACUCACCUAUUUCUUUUUUUUAUGACCAAGAAAAUAAACUGGAACAACAAUAAACUAAAAAUGAGAUAAAAACUGAAAGUGGGAUUAAAUGAGAUAAACUGAAAAUUGGGAUAAAAAACUGUCAACAAAAUAACAGGGGAGUUUGAAAUUGAUUGUAGUAACUAAUAAUGAGAAUAAUAAUAGAAAGUAAAUAAUAAAAUAAAGAGUAAUCAAUAAUGAAAAAGUUCUAGUUGAAGUAUUGGAUCCACUUUAGUUGUUGGGAUUGAUCACAGACACUUGUUCUUUUGGGUUGAUUCAAUAGAUUAGUUAUGGAGAUGGAAGACGCUUCUCACCACCAUUAUCUCUCCUUAUGAUUAAACCAAUUAGGGAACGUCCUCUAAUUAAUUACUAAUUAACAAAUUGCCAAGGAACGUCUUUGGGCCUCAGGCAUCAAAACAAUUGUCAAUUGCAUUAAGAAAUAGAGAGAUCCAAUCCUAGCUAUCCAAAUGUAUAGAGAUAACACUAGAUCAUACAAUUUCCUUGGGUUUUAUCCCAAGUGUUCUCAUGUAAGAAUAAUAUAAGCAAUUACGGACUUAAAUUAUUCAAACUAACAAAUAAUUAUUUUGCAAUUAAAAAUCAAUGUAGAUCUUAAUAACAAAAUAAUAUAAAAAUUAAGUAUGAAAUUGCAUGAAUAUUAAACUCCUAAAAAUUAAAUAAUAUUUGAUCAAGUCUCACAACCCAUUAAACAACUAAAACUUCAACCAAUAUUCAACUAGAUGAAAGAAAUUCAGCCACUCAUUGGCUGAAUUAAAAACAGAAAAAAAUAAAAAUAAAAAGGGAAAGGAAGGAAAGAACCGAAGAACUUCUACCUUGCGCCGGACUGCGAAAUUGCCGAAUUAGAAUUGGAAUUGUCUGUCCACUGAAGAGCUCUUUUUAUAAGUGCAGAGGUGCGUCCUAUUUUGGUAUUUCUGGCCACGUGCGGUGAGUCUCCGCGAGAGUGGGCUGCGUCCGUGAGUUUGGAGUGCUGGCCACAUGUGAGGUGCUUGGUCAUAGGCUGUCCAUGUGUGUGGCGGAAUGGAAACGCCUUGUUGGGCCAUGUGCAAGUGAAGGUGCAGGUGUGGGCUGUGGUGUGCGUGAGUGGUGUGGGCCAUGUUGCAAGUGGUUGGUGCGGCCUUGAUCCGCGUGAAGGGAGUGGUGAAGCGCGGGCCAUGGUGGAAGAAUGUUGAAGCGGGCCCAUGGUCCAUGUGAAGUGAAUGGUGAAGGCCAUGAGUGCAAGGUGGAGGCGGGCCAUGUG
rnacentral:lncRNA from 1 species